GGUUCCACGUGUGGUGUUUGUGGAAUUUGGCCUGCCCAAUGACUUGUAUUUAAUGGCCGCGGUAUUUUGACCGUGCAAAGGUAGCAUAAUCAUUAGUCCUUUAAUUGAGGUCUGGGAUGAAGGGUUGGACGUAGAAGGUGCUGUCUUAGGCAGUAAUAGUUUAUUGAAUUUUAUUUUUAAGUGAAAAGGCUUAAAUGACCCUGGGGGACGAUAAGACCCUAUAGAUCUUUAUGGUUGGGUUUAAAAAGCAAAAAUUGUUGAAUUUAACCAUUAUGUUGGGGUGACAAAGAGGGGUAGUUAGCUCUCUUAUGAGAAGAAUACACAUUGGUAUGAAGAGAUCCACGGAUAGUGAUAAUUAGAUUAAGUUACCUUAGGGAUAACAGCGUAAUUUUACUUAAGAGUUCUUAUCGGCAGUAGAGUUUGCGACCUCGAUGUUGGAUUAAGGGAUCCUAGUGGUGUAGCAGCUACGGGGGAAGGUCUGUUCGACCUUUAAAUCUUUACA
rnacentral:rRNA from 1 species